rnacentral:rRNA from 1 species
AUUGAACGCUGGCGGAAUGCUUUACACAUGCAAGUCGAACGGCAGCACGAGGGCAACCUUGGUGGCGAGUGGCGAACGGGUGAGUAAUACAUCGGAACGUGCCCAGUCGUGGGGGAUAACGUAGCGAAAGCUACGCUAAUACCGCAUACGAUCUAUGGAUGAAAGCGGGGGACCGUAAGGCCUCGCGCGAUUGGAGCGGCCGAUGGCAGAUUAGGUAGUUGGUGGGGUAAAGGCUCACCAAGCCUGCGAUCUGUAGCUGGUCUGAGAGGACGACCAGCCACACUGGAACUGAGACACGGUCCAGACUCCUACGGGAGGCAGCAGUGGGGAAUUUUGGACAAUGGGCGCAAGCCUGAUCCAGCCAUUCCGCGUGCAGGAUGAAGGCCUGG